rnacentral:rRNA from 1 species
UAAGUCUAACCUGCUCAAUGAUUUAAUAAUUAAAUGGCCGCAGUAUUUUGACUGUGCGAAGGUAGCAUAAUCAUUUGUCUUUUAAUUGAAGGCUUGUAUGAAUGGUUGGAUGAGGGAAUUACUUUAUUUAUAUUAAGUUGAGAAUUUAAUUUUUUAGUUAAAAAGCUUAAAUUUUAAAGUGGGACGAGAAGACCCUAUAGAAUUUGAUUAUUAAUUUUAAUUUAAAUGGAUUGGUUUAUAUAUAAAUUACAUUAAAGUUAAUAAUUUUGUUGGGGUGAUAGGAAGAUUUAUUUAACUCUUUUAUUUAUUUAUUAUUUAUUAAUAUAUUAUUGAUCCCUAUAUUAGGAUAACUAGAUUAAAUUACCUUAGGGAUAACAGCGUAAUUUUUCUGGAGAGUUCUUAUUGAUGGAAAAGUUUGCGACCUCGAUGUUGGAUUAAAAUUAGCUUUAAGUGCAGAAGCUUAAAUGCUAGGUCUGUUCGACCUUUAAAUUUUUACGUGAUCUGAGUUCA